UACCAGCACCCCCGAGUGGUCGGGACGAUUAUUGGGCCUAAAGCAUCCGUAGCCGGCCUUACAAGUCCUCCGUUAAAUCCAGCUGCUUAACAGAUGGGCUGCGGAGGAUACUAUAAGACUAGGAGGCAGGAGAGGCAAGCGGUACUCAGUGGGUAGGGGUAAAAUCCGUUGAUCCAUUGAAGACCACCAGUGGCGAAGGCGGCUUGCCAGAAUGCGCUCGACGGUGAGGGAGUGAAAGCUGGGGGAAGCCAAACCGG
rnacentral:rRNA from 1 species